rnacentral:tRNA from 1 species
GUGGUGGUUCAGUGGUAGAAUUCUCGCCUUCCACGCAGGAGACCUGGGUUCAAUUCCCAGCCAACACA